rnacentral:rRNA from 1 species
UACGGAGGGUGCAAGCGUUAUCCGGAUUCACUGGGUUUAAAGGGUGCGUAGGCUGCGCGGAAAGUUGGGUGUGAAAUCCCUCGGCUCAACCGAGGAACUGCGCCCAAAACUGCCGUGCUCGAGGAAGAUAGAGGUAAGCGGAACUUACGGUGGAGCGGUGAAAUGCGUUGAUAUCGUAAGGAACACCUGUGGCGAAAGCGGCUUACUGGGUCUUUUCUGACGCUGAUGCACGAAAGCUAGGGGAGCAAACGGG